rnacentral:lncRNA from 1 species
AGAUUUGCUCUUCUGUUUAUAGUCUCAACAAAGUGAAUCUUAUAAGCAUUCAAACAUUUUAGCAGUAAUCCUUCAGGUGGUUCUGUGACCAAUGCAUUGUCAUCAAUUUCUUCUGAAUUGUCUCUCAGGAAUGUAGUACACCAGAAGAGGGUGCUGGAUCCCAUGGAGCUGGAGUUACAGGUCAUUUCGAGAUGCCUGAACUGAAUUCUGGGUCCUCUUCAAGAGUCGUAUGCAAUUUUAAUCUUUGAGCCAUCUCUCUAGCCCAAAAGUUUGAAUUGCAUUUCAUGCAUUCAUGCAUGCAUGCAUUCAUUGGGUGGGGAGGCACACAACUCACAGGAGAUUUGAAGCAGGUCAACCCAGUAGAAAACACUGACAUG